rnacentral:siRNA from 1 species
AGAAUCUCGUGUUUUUGUGUGGGU